rnacentral:rRNA from 1 species
GACGAACGCUGGCGGCGCGCCUAACACAUGCAAGUCGAACGAGCGAGAGAGAGCUUGCUUUCUUGAACGAGUGGCGCACGGGUGAGUAACGCGCGAGGAACCCGCCUCUAUGAGAGGGACAACAGUUGGAAACGACUGCUAAUACCGCAUAUGCUCACGGUGCCGCCUGGCAUCGAGGGAAAAGGAGCAAUCUGCUUUGAGAUGUCGUCGCGUCCGAUUAGCUAGUUGGUGAGGUAACGGCACACCAAAGCGACGACCGGUAGCCGUACAGAGAGGCUGAGUGGCCACAUUGAGAAUGGGCCACGGCCCAGACUCCUACGGGAGGCGGGAGUGGGGAAUAUAGCACAGGGGGGGGAAUCAUGAUGCAGCGACGCCGCGUGGAGGAAGAAAGUAUUGGGAUUGUAAACUGUUGGUGUUGGGGAACAUAUUGACGGUACCUAACAAGGAAGUGACGGCUAACUACGUG